rnacentral:rRNA from 1 species
UACGAAGGGUGCAAGCGUUACUCGGAAUUACUGGGCGUAAAGCGUGCGUAGGUGGUUGUUAAGUCUGUUGUGAAAUCCCCGGGCUCAACCUGGGAAUGGCAAUGGAUACUGGCAAGCUAGAGUGUAGUAGAGGGAGGUGGAAUUUCCGGUGUAGCGGUGAAAUGCGUAGAGAUCGGGAGGAACACCAGUGGCGAAGGCGGCCUCCUGGACUAACACUGACGCUGAGGUACGAAAGCGUGGGGAUCAAACAGG